CCUACGGGAGGCAGCAGUGAGGAAUAUUGGUCAAUGGACGAGAGUCUGAACCAGCCAAGUAGCGUGAAGGAUGACUGCCCUAUGGGUUGUAAACUUCUUUUAUAUGGGAAUAAAAUGUUCCACGUGUGGGAUUUUGUAUGUACCAUAUGAAUAAGGAUCGGCUAACUCCGUGCCAGCAGCCGCGGUAAUACGGAGGAUCCGAGCGUUAUCCGGAUUUAUUGGGUGUAAAGGGAGCGUAGGCGGAUUGUUAAGUCAGUUGUGAAAGUUUGCGGCUCAACCGUAAAAUUGCAGUUGAAACUGGGAGUCUUGAGUGCAGUAGAGGUAGGCGGAAUUCGUGGUGUAGCGGUGAAAUGCUUAGAUAUCACGAAGAACUCCGAUUGCGAAGGCAGCUCACUGGACUGCAACUGACACUGAGGCUCGAAAGUGUGGGUAUCAAACAGGAUUAGAUACCCGAGUAGUC
rnacentral:rRNA from 1 species